GCAAUAGAGUUCGGACUUUCAGAUAUUUCCCAAAAUCUCUACAUGGUGUCAGAGGCCGGAAGCGAUGAGGGAGGCGAUCUGCAGUGAGGUUGCCUGAUAGUGGUGAAGUCGAUUUCUCGGGUGAAAUCGGAGCAGCAAGGUUGUGCCGGGCCGCCGGCCGUCGUGGAGCUGGAGCUCGAGUUGAGCCUUGGCGUGGUGGUGCUGUAGGGCUGCAGUGCAGAGAAGACAGCAGCUGCCAGAAGUGGAAGGGAAGGAGAUCUUCAGGCGGAUCCAGCAUAGCAAGGCGUGGAGCUGCGUGUGGUGGACAUACAUGAGAAGGAGCGGCACCUGGAGGUGAUUUCUGGUGUUGGGCAGGUUGCUGCUACAGUGAGUGAGCCUUUAAUCCCUUUAAUCGAAAGGUUCAGAGGCUGUUCUCCUGGUGAAGGUACUAGCUACUGUUUUCUCUGCUAUUAGUUGAAGGGUACUUGGAGUGGGGAUAGUGGUUUUGGAGGUAGCUGCAAGUUUGCAAGGGGACGUGAAGGAAUAGAGGUCUCUGUUGUUUGUAUGCUGAUCAUUUGCACUGGAAGAUUGGGGAAAGACAAAGGAUAGAGCAGGUUCUUGGAAAAUUAGUGGAGCUACUUACUGCAAAGAAGGAUGAGGCUGCAUCUUCAAGCAGGGAAAUUGUGGUUCACACUGAACCAGUCUAGAAGAUUGAAUUGAUGCCAAAUGAUGUCAAAUUGGAGGGUAUAAAGAAUUAUUUGGCUUGGUCUAGAAGGGCUCUUCGGUUGCUGAAGGCAAAGAAGCUUGAAGGAUUUAUCAAUGGGGAGUCAUCAGAGCCGGUGGACAAGUCAAGUCCUGAAUGGAGUACAUGGGAUGCUACAAACAAUUUGGUAGCUGCAUGGUUGUUGAGUUCUGUGACUCCAGCAAUUGCUAGCACUGUUGACACACUUGUAAGUGCAGCUGAUAUAUGGAAGGCACUGGAAAAGAAGUAUUCAGGGGCUGGAAAUGUGAUGUUGAUGGUUGAAGUAGAAGACUGUCUCCAUGACCUAAAACAGGGGGAGCGGUCUGUGAUGGACUAUGCUGCUGAGCUAAAGAGUUUGUGGGCUGAUGCAGAUCACUAUAAACCUAUUGAGUUGCCACAGUCAGAGUGUGUAGCUUGGGUGAAGAAGUGGAUGGAAGAAAAAAGAGUGAUUCAAUUUUUAAGGGGCUUAAACCCAGAAUUUGAAACAAGACGUUCUGCUAUUUUUCAUCAGUCCACUCUCCCUAGCCUAGAGGAGGCCAUAGCUGCCAUAUCACAAGAGGAGUCCAGAUUAAAGGUGAUGAGGGGAGGAAUUGAUUUGUCUCCAUCUCGUCCUAUUUUUGCAAUAACAAGAGUUAAAGAUGACAGGGAGUGUUUCAAUUGUGGUGAUACUGGGCACUUGAUUCGUGAUUUGUUCUAUGCCAUUCAGACCCAACAGAGGAAGAGGAAGUAAUAGAGGUGCUCUAAGGGGUGGCAGAGGCCAUGGAGGUAGAGGUGGCUACAGGGCUAAUGUAGUAGGAACACAAGAUGAAUAUUCUAAAGCAAAUGAUGCUUCAUUAGUGGAACUUGAAGAACCAAGGCAUAUGAAAGGGAAAUGGGAAAGCUCUGAAGAUCAAGAUAGAGAGGCAUGUAGUGGUGAUUUUAUCAACUUUGCCUACACAGAUGAAGGAAAGACGAACAGGGAGGCAUCUUGGGAGUGCAACCAGGCGUAGUGGGUUGUGGUACAUGGAUCGCGAAGAAACAAAUGAUGCUCCAUGUACUGUCCUAGCAGCGACAGUGGGAGAGAAAGAAUCUAUGGUGAUGCUUUUGCAUUGUAGAAUGGGGCAUCGUUCUUUUAAUAAAAUGUUCAAAGUCUUUCCUGAUGUAACGUGUGGGGUGGAUAAGGAAAAAUUAUUUUGUGAUGCAUGUGAGUUUGCAAAACACACAAGGACAUCUUAUGUCAGUAAGGGCAUGAAGAGUGUGUCCCCUUUUGUGCUAGUUCAUUCAGAUGUUUGGACAUGUCCUGUGGUUUCCAUUAGUGGGAUGAAAUAUUUUGUUACUUUUUUUUAUU